rnacentral:rRNA from 1 species
CCUACGGGUGGCAGCAGUGGGGAAUAUUGCGCAAUGGGGGCAACCCUGACGCAGCAACGCCGCGUGAUUGAAGAAGGCCUUCGGGUUGUAAAGCUCUGUUAGCAGGGAAGAGGAAGGACGGUACCUGCAGAGGAAGCCACGGCUAACUACGUGCCAGCAGCCGCGGUAAUACGUAGGUGGCAAGCGUUGUUCGGAAUAACUGGGCGUAAAGGAUGCGUAGGCGGUUAAACAAGUUAUAUGUUAAAUAUAUAGGCUUAACCUGUAGAAAGCAUAUAAAACUGUUUAACUAGAGUGCAGGAGAGGUAAGUGGAAUUCCUAGUGUAGCGGUGAAAUGCGUAGAGAUUAGGAAGAACACCAGUGGCGAAGGCGACUUACUGGACUGUAACUGACGCUGAAGCACGAAAGCGUGGGUAUCGAACAGGAUUAGAUACCCCAGUAGUC